rnacentral:rRNA from 1 species
GACGAACGCUGGCGGCGUGCUUAACACAUGCAAGUCGAACGGAAAGGCCCUGCUUUUGUGGGGUGCUCGAGUGGCGAACGGGUGAGUAACACGUGAGUAACCUGCCCUUGACUUUGUGAUAACUUCAGGAAACUGGGGCUAAUACCGGAUAGGAGCUCCUGCUGCAUUGUGGGGGUUGGAAAGUUUCGGCGGUUGGGGAUGGACUCGCGGCUUAUCAGCUUGUUGGUGGGGUAGUGGCUUACCAAGGCUUUGACGGGUAGCCGACCUGAGGGGGUGACCGGCGCCCAGGGGCCUAAGGGAGGCCGCAGUGUGGUAGGGGGGGCAGCAGUGGGAAACAUUGCACAACGGUGGGACGCGUGUGGAAGAAGCCCUCGGGGUGGAAAGCAGGCUUUUGGGGUAAGAACCGGUUCUGCUUAUGACCAGGGGUGGGUGACGGUAAUGGAUAAAGAAGCACCGGCUAACUACGUG